rnacentral:sRNA from 1 species
AACCCCGUGUUAGACGCGGGGUUUCGGAAAGCUUAAGUGAUAAAGAAAAUAUAUAAAAAAUUCCUCCUUUGAUAAAAUAAAAUUGCGGUCUGCCAAUCGCAAAAUAUCAAAGGAGGAA